rnacentral:rRNA from 1 species
ACAGAGGUGGCAAGCGUUGUUCGGAAUUACUGGGCGUAAAGGGCGCGUAGGCGGUCUUGCAAGUCCCGUGUGAAAUCCCUCGGCCCAACUGAGGAACUGCACGGGAAACUGCUUGGCUUGAGUUCGGGAGAGGGAAGCGGAAUUCCAGGUGUAGCGGUGUAAUGCGUAGAUAUCUGGAGGAAUACCGGUGGCGAAGGCGGCAUCCUGGACCGACAUUGACGCUGAGGAGCGAAAGCUAGGGGAGCAAACGGUA